rnacentral:rRNA from 1 species
GACAAACAUGGCCAAAUUAAGAUUAAUACAGUAGAAAAUAGGGUAAGAACUCGGUAUUAAGCAGAAUGCAAUUUUAAGAAAAACUAUGUUUCCUGUAAAGGUGGAAUUUGCAUAGGAAAAAUAGUCUAUUGUUUUCUUAUAGUUUUGAAUCCUUGAAAUCUCAAUUAAAAACCGGGAUUAGAUACCCCGUUAUUUGAGGCGUAAAUUUUAAUUUAAUUGGUAAAUUUACUUGAGUAUUACGGGUUCUUUAGACUUAUAGUUUAUUUGGAUUACCUAAAACUCAAAAGACUUGGCGGUGCCUUAUAUCCUUUCAGGGGAACCUGUCCUGUAAUUGAUAGUCCACGAUUUAUCUUUCCUUUUCUUGAAUUAAUUUAAAUCAGCAUGUAUACCGUCGUCGUCAGAUUACCUCUAAGAGGGAAGAAGUUAUCAAUUAGAAUUUACAAUAUAGCUUGCUAAUUUAUACCCGCGAGUGAAUUUCAUGUGACUCUAGACGUCAGAUCAAGGUGCAGCUAAUGGUAAGGAAGAGAUGGGUUACAAUAAUUAAUUAUUACACGAAUUUUUUUCUGCAAAGUAAAUCUAAAGGAGGACUUGAAAGUAAUUUGUAAAGAAGAGUAGAGAGCUUCGGUGAAAAUGGCUCUAAGGCGUGC